rnacentral:rRNA from 1 species
GAUGAACGCUGGCGGCGUGCCUAAUACAUGCAAGUCGAGCGAACAGACGAGGAGCUUGCUCCUCUGACGUUAGCGGCGGACGGGUGAGUAACACGUGGAUAACCUACCUAUAAGACUGGGAUAACUUCGGGAAACCGGAGCUAAUACCGGAUAAUAUAUUGAACCGCAUGGUUCAAUAGUGAAAGACGGUUUUGCUGUCACUUAUAGAUGGAUCCGCGCCGCAUUAGCUAGUUGGUAAGGUAACGGCUUACCAAGGCAACGAUGCGUAGCCGACCUGAGAGGGUAAUCGGCCACACUGGAACUGAGACACGGUCCAGACUCCUACGGGAGGCAGCAGUAGGGAAUCUUCCGCAAAGGGCGAAAGCCUGACGGAGCAACGCCGCGUGAGUGAUGAAGGUCUUCGGAUCGUAAAACUCUGUUAUUAGGGAAGAACAAAUGUGUAAGUAACUAUGCACGUCUUGACGGUACCUAAUCAGAAAGCCACGGCUAACUACGUG